AUGAACGCUGGCGGCGUGCCUUAAGCAUGCAAGUCGAGCGAAUCCCGCAGCAAUGCGGGACUAGCGGCAGACGGGUGAGUAACGCGUAGGAAUCUACCCCUGGGUGGGGGAUAGCCCGCCGAAAGGCGGAGUAAUCCCGCAUAGCCUCGUAAGAGUAAAGGCCUUAACCGGCCGCCGAGGGAGGAGCCUGCGUCCUAUCAGCUAGUUGGUGAGGUAACGGCUCACCAAGGCUACGACGGGUAGCUGGACUGAGAGGUCGGACAGCCACAAUGGGACUGAGACACGGCCCAUACACCUACGGGUGGCAGCAACUGGGAAUAUUGCGCAAUGGGCGAAAGCCUGACGCAGCGACGCUGCGUGGAGGAUGAAGGCCUUCGGGUCGUAAACUCCUUUUGCCAUGUCGUAUGACGUGGAGAAUAAGCACCUGCUAACUACGUGCCAGAAGCCUCGGUAAUACGUAGGGUGCAAGCGUUAUCCGGAUUUACUGGGCGUAAAGCGUUUCGUAGGCGGAUGAGCAAGUCAGUAGUGAAAUUUCUCGGCCCAACCGGGAGCACGCUAUUGAAACUGCUCGUCUCGAGUGUCAAAGGGGAGGCUGGAACUGUUGGUGUAGUAGUGAAAUGCGUUGAUAUCAACAGGAACACCAAGGGCGAAGGCAGGCCUCUGGGUGACAACUGACGCUGAGGAACGACAGCUAGGGGAGCGAAAGGGAUUAGAGACCCCUGUAGUCCUAGCCGUAAACUAUGCUCGCUAGAUGGGCGGUUCGUUUAGAAUAGAAUUUCAAAGAAUCAAAUAACAUUUGUUAUUUUGAUUUUCUAUUUUAUGCGAACUGUCUGUCGUAAGCUAACGCGUUAAGCGAGCCGCCUGGGGAGUACGAGCGCAAGCUUAAAACUCAAAGGAAUUGACGGGGGAGCGCACAACCAGUGGAGCGUGUGGUUUAAUUCGAUACGAAGCGAAGAACCUUACCUGGGUUUGACAUGUAUUUUACGUCUCCGCCGAAAGGUGGAUUCUCAACGGAUACACAGCUGCUGCAUGGCUGUCGUAAGUUCGUGCCGUGGGGUGUCGGCUUCAGUGCCGUAACGAACGCAACCCUUAUCCUAUGUUAAAUUGUACAUAGGAGACUGCCUGCCGAUGAGGUGGGAGGAAGGUGAGGAUGACGUCAAGUCAGCAUGGCGCUUACGCCCAGGGCUACACACACCCUACAAUGAGACAGACAACGGGUCGCCAAACCGCGAGGUGGAGCUAAUCCUUCAAACUGUCUCUCAGUUGGGAUUGCAGGCUGCAAUUCGCCUGCAUGAACCUGGAAUUGGUAGUAAUCGCGGAUCAGCAGGCCGCGGUGAAUACGUUCUCGCUCCUUGUACACACCGCCCGUCAAGCCAGCAAAGUUGGCAGCACCCGAAGGUCGUGUUUAACACGGACUAAGGUGAGGUCAGCGAUGAGGACU
rnacentral:rRNA from 1 species